AGGUCAAGCUACAAAGGGCGCAGGGUGAAUGCCUUGGCACUAGGAGCCGAAGAAGGACGUGAUAAGCUGCGAUAAGCUUUGGGUAGGCGCAAAUAGCCUGUGAUCCAGAGAUUUCCGAAUGGGGAAACCUACUUAAUU
rnacentral:rRNA from 1 species